UGUUUGUGGACCUUGUAGAGAAG
rnacentral:piRNA from 1 species